UCUAAACCUAGAACUCAUAAUCGAUGUUCCGUUUGGUGUCCAAGUGCAAUCGCAUAAUACUAUUGCUGAUGAUGAUAAGAAACGUCUCCGACGUGUACUGAACAUUGUGUGAGAUGGUGGAUGCCAGGUAAGUGAAUUGUGAUAAAAAACUUUUCUUCAAGACCAAACUUCUGGAGCAAACUGAUGCAUCGUUGCUUGAGAUGAAAAAAUUC